rnacentral:rRNA from 1 species
GACGAACGCUGGCGGCGUGCUUAACACAUGCAAGUCGAACGGAAAGGCCCUGCUUUUGCGGGGUUCUCGAGUGGCGAACGGGUGAGUAACACGUGAGUAACCUGCCCUUGACUUUGGGAUAACUUCAGGAAACUGGGGCUAAUACCGUAUAGGAGCUCCUGCUGCAUGGUGGGGGUUGGAAAGUUUCGGCGGUUGGGGAUGGACUCGCGGCUUAUCAGCUUGUUGGUGGGGUAGUUGCUUACCAAGGCUUUGACGGGUAGCCGGCCUGAGAGGGUGACCGGCCACAUGGGGACUGAGGUACGGCCCAGACUCGUACGGGAGGCAGCAGUGGGGAAUAUUGCACAAUGGGCGGAAGCCUGAUGAAGCAACGCCGCGUGCGGGAUGACGGCCUUCGGGUUGUAAAACGCUUUAGCCUGUGACGAAGCGUGAGUGACGGUAAUGGGUAAAGAAGCACCGGCUAACUACGUG